rnacentral:lncRNA from 1 species
GGCCUCGUGUGCAAAAAAUAGGCCGCGGGCAAAGCCGCGCCCAAAAAUAACCGCCCGAAGACCGGGGCGCGAAGUUCGUCCGGGGGAAAAAGUCCACAAAAACGGGUAGGCUAUAGCUUUGGGGGGGGGGGCUGGCCAACCUCGUCCGCCGGACUCGGAAAGCCAUGAGACUUUGCGAGGGGCCUCCGUGUGCCAAACAUAGGCCGCGGACAAAGCCGCGCCCAAAAAUAACAGCCCGAAGGCCGGGGCGACAAGUUCGUCCAAGGGAAAAACGCCACAAAAACGGGUGGGCUAUAGACUUGGGGGGGGGGGCUGGCCAACCUCGUCCGCCGGACUCGGAAUGCCGCGAGACUUUCCGAGGUGCCUCCGUGUGCCAAAAAUAGGCCGCGGGCAAAGCCGCGCCCAAAACUAACCGCCCGAAGGCCGGGGCGCCAUGUNNN